rnacentral:misc_RNA from 1 species
UCCGGUUUGGCACCGGCAGUCUCCUAUGAGUCCCCAACAUUACUCGCUGGCAACAUAGGACAGGGGUUACGCUCGUUGCGGGACUUAACCCAACAUCUCACGACACGAGCUGACGACAGCCAUGCACCACCUGUGCACUGGCCCCGAAGGGCUGCCGUAUUUCUACGACAUUCCAGUGCAUGUCAAACCCAGGUAAGGUUCUUCGCGUUGCAUCGAAUUAAGCCACAUGCUCCGCCGCUUGUGCGGGCCCCCGUCAAUUCCUUUGAGUUUCAGCCUUGCGGCCGUACUCCCCAGGCGGGGUGCUUAACGCGUGAGCUGCGGCACCGAAGGGGUCGCUCCCCCCGGCACCUAGCACCCAUCGUUUACGGCGUGGACUAC